rnacentral:rRNA from 1 species
AUUGAACGCUGGCGGCAGGCUUAACACAUGCAAGUCGAACGAGUGGCGGACGGGUGAGUAAUGUCUGGGAAACUGCCCGAUGGAGGGGGAUAAAUACUGGAAACGGUAGCUAAUACCGCAUACCCUCGUAUGUGCCCAGAUGGGAUUAGCUGGUAGGUGGGGUAACGGCUCACCUAGGCGACGAUCCCUAGCUGGUCUGAGAGGAUGAUCAGCCACACUGGAACUGGGCAACGGCCCAGAGCCCUACGGGAGGAAGCAGUGGGGAAUAUUGCAAAAUGGGCGCAGGCCUGAUGCAGCAAUGCCGCGUGUAUGAAGAAGGCCUUAGGGUUGUAAAGUACUUUCAGCGGGGAGGCGUUACCCGCAGAAGAAGCACCGGCUAACUCCGUGCCAGCCGCCGCGGUAAUAC